UACGUAGGGUCGCAAGCGUUAUCCGGAAUUAUUGGGCGUAAAGAGCUCGUAGGCGGUUUGUCGCGUCUGCCGUGAAAGUCCGGGGCUCAACUCCGGAUCUGCGGUGGGUACGGGCAGACUAGAGUGCAGUAGGGGAGACUGGAAUUCCUGGUGUAGCGGUGAAAUGCGCAGAUAUCAGGAGGAACACCGAUGGCGAAGGCAGGUCUCUGGGCUGUAACUGAC
rnacentral:rRNA from 1 species